rnacentral:rRNA from 1 species
AUUGAACGCUGGCGGCAGGCCUAACACAUGCAAGUCGAAUGGUAACAGGAAACAGCUUGCUGUUUCGCUGACGAGUGGCGGACGGGUGAGUAAUGUCUGGGAAACUGCCUGAUGGAGGGGGAUAACUACUGGAAACGGUAGCUAAUACCGCAUAACUUCGCAAGACCAAAGAGGGGGACCUUCGGGCCUCUUGCCAUCAGAUGUGCCCAGAUGGGAUUAGCUAGUAGGUGGGGUAACGGCUCACCUAGGCGACGAUCCCUAGCUGGUCUGAGAGGAUGACCAGCCACACUGGAACUGAGACACGGUCCAGACUCCUACGGGAGGCAGCAGUGGGGAAUAUUGCACAAUGGGCGCAAGCCUGAUGCAGCCAUGCCGCGUGUAUGAAGAAGGCCUUCGGGUUGUAAAGUACUUUCAGCGGGGAGGAAGGGAGUAAAGUUAAUACCUUUGCUCAUUGACGUUACCCGCAGAAGAAGCACCGGCUAACUCCGUG